UACGUAGGGGGCAAGCGUUGUCCGGAUUUAUUGGGCGUAAAGAGCGUGUAGGCGGCCUGACAGGUCUGCUGUGAAAACUCGAGGCUCAACCUCGAGAUGUCGGCGGAAACCGUCUGGCUAGAGUCCGGAAGAGGAGAGUGGAAUUCCUGGUGUAGCGGUGAAAUGCGCAGAUAUCAGGAAGAACACCCGUGGCGAAGGCGGCUCUCUGGGCCGAUACUGACGCUGAGGAGCGAAAGCGUGGGGAGCAAACAGG
rnacentral:rRNA from 1 species